rnacentral:rRNA from 1 species
UGAGGAAUAUUGGUCAAUGGUCGCAAGACUGAACCAGCCACGUAGCGUGAGGGAAGACUGCCCUAUGGGUUGUAAACCUCUUUUAUCUGGGAAUAAAGUGAGCCACGUGUGGCUUAUUGCAGGUACCAGAAGAAUAAGGACCGGCUAAUUCCGUGCCAGCAGCCGCGGUAAUACGGAAGGUCCAGGCGUUAUCCGGAUUUAUUGGGUUUAAAGGGAGCGUAGGCCGCUUGGUAAGCGGGCAGUGAAAUGCAGAGGCUCAACCUCUGACUUGCUGUUCGAACUGCCAGGCUUGAGUACGCACGAGGUAGGCGGAAUUUGUGGUGUAGCGGUGAAAUGCUUAGAUAUCACAAAGAACUCCAAUUGCGAAGGCAGCUUACCGGAGCGCAACUGACGCUGAAGCGCGAAAGUGCGGGUAUCGAAUA